UGGGUCGACCAGGCGGCCGCGUUGAGCCCGCUUGCGGGCCACCGAGGAACGUCCGGGCUCCGCAGGGCAGGGUGGUGGGUAACGCCCACUCGGGGUGACCCGCAGGCCAGUGCCACAGAAAAGAGACCGCUCCCCACCACGCUCCGGCGUGGACGGGAGUAAGGGUGAAAAGGCGGUGUAAGAGACCACCAGCGUGCCGGGUGACCGGUGCGGCUCGGUAAACCCCACCCGGAGCAAGGCCAGACAGUGCGCGUCCGAGGGCUGCCCGCCCGAGUGCACGGGUAGGCCGCUGGAGGGCGUCGGUAACGGCGUCCGUAGAUGGAUGGUCGCCACUCGCACAGCGGCAACGUCGUGCGAUGACAGAACCCGGCGUAUCGGUCGACCCAUCCC
rnacentral:RNase_P_RNA from 2 species